rnacentral:lncRNA from 10 species
GGGAGAGGCAGCCCGUGGCCUGGAGCAGUGGUGUUAACCACCGAAGGGAGGUAGAAUGUUUUUCCCCACCAGAGGAGGCAGCGACCACGUCUCCUCUAUGGAGGCAUUCAAGAGCCGUCCAGCUGAAGCAGCAUCACUGUCUGAGCUCGGAAGGCACAAUCCACAUAGGUCUGCAUGGUCCACCGAGCUGCAUACCCACGGGGCCAGCGGGAGGUGGGCAGCUGCUGGGCUCUCUUCUGAAGCAGACAGGAUCUCACUCUGUUGCUGAGGCUGGAUCACAGCUCCCUGCAACCUUGAACUCUCCCUCAAGCAAUUCUCCCCACUCUGCCUUCCAAAGCACUAGCAUUAUAGGCCUAAGCCACCACUCCCAUCCACUGUAGUGUAAACUGUCUCCUUCAAUGUUUCCAAUAGUUGCGGAGCAGAUCAGAUAAGGGUUCUUCCUGUCUGUUGCUUCAAGUUUCAUUCUCUCUUUAAACAAUACAAGGUUGGCUUCCAUGGUUCCUUCUUAAAGAAUGUUGAAGGUGUGUCUUCAGAUUCAUUUAGUGUUCGUGGAACCCCAGGGAAAGCUGAUGUAAAAACCUCUUUUUUCUCCCAUAUGUCUCAAAAAGUUGUAUUUUCUGGGUCCAAGGGAUCUGCAAGCCUCCUAAAGGCAUUUCCAUUGUCACUACCACCAGGUGUGAACUGUAAUCUGGCACGUAUAGUUCCAAGAACUGUCAUAAUAGAUGCUGAAGAAACAUUGUGAAGUUAACUCGCUGUUACCAACUGUGAAGUCAUUAGCUAGAGGAAUCUUGGGCGGUCUGAAAUCUGAGAUACUGUGGAAAGAACAGAAAGAUCCUGUAUCUUUCCUAUAAUUGUUCUACUGGAAGUUGUCAUUUUACACAGGAGACAUUCUGUUUUAUUUAUUUUCUUUUGAGACAGGGUCUCACUCUGUCGCCCAGGCUGGAGUGCAGUGUUGUUACCACAGGUCACUGGUGCCUCCACUGCCUGAGGACUGCUCAAGCAAUCCUCCUGCCUCAGUCCCCUGAGGAGCUGGGGCCACAGGCCUGCACCACCAUGCCUGGCUAAUUAUUUUUAUUUGUAGAGACAAAGUCUAUCUUGCCUAGGCUGAUCUCGAACUCCUGGGCUCAAGUAAUCCUCCCGCGGUGGCUUCUCAAAGUGCUUGGGAUUACAGAUGUAAGCUACCAUGCCCGGCCUCACAGGAGACAUUUUUGAUGUCCCUCUUGACAGUCUACAAAAGUCUACAAAUCUUUUUUUUUUUUUUUUUGAGACAGGGUCUUGCUCUGUCACCCAGUCUGGAAUGCAGUGGUGCCAUCAUAGCUCACUACAGCCUGAGCUGUACUGAGCUCGAGGGAUCUUCCCGUCUCCGCCUCCUAAGCAGCUGGGACUACAGGUACUUGCCCCCAGGCCCAGAUAAUUUAUUUAAAAACUUUUUUUGUAGAGACAGGGUCUCACUAUGUUGCCCAGGCUGGUCUCAAACUCCUGGCCUCAAACAAUCCUCUACCUCAACCCCCCUAAGUGCUGGCAUUACAGGCAUCAGCUGCCAUGCCUGGCUACAAAUCUUAAUGUUUUCCCCAUGGCUUCUUUUUCUGGCGUUCUUUUCUCAGGUAAUGGAAGUGGGCAGAGAAUGAUCCUUUCCCUAGGCUCCAGUGUGUAAGAAUUAAAGAAAGAGGAAAGAAACACAAUGGCUUGAUGGUCGAGGACAGGUUUAUUUUAAAGAAAACAAACCCAAGAGUGGCUUCUGGCUGAGUUAGAUCAGAGGCAUGCUCUCUUACAGACUAAGAGUUUUUAAGGAUUCAGGGUGGGAGAGUUUAUCAGAGGCUUGGACUGCUUCUGUGUCUCUUUAGGUGUGCUUAUCUGGGAGGGAGUUGUGUGUCUGUUUCCAUACAUCUUCCUGCAGCUGCAGGCAUACCCCCAGGUCUGCUUUUAGCUUCCCUAUCUUAGUGCACCUGAAGGGAAAGAAUGUGCUUAUUAAGGCCCACUGUUAUACUGGGGCCCAAUGUAUGAGGGUGAAGUUUGGCAAUUACCCAAGAGACUUUCCCCCCACCUCCCUCUGUGCCUGAGCUGUCUCAUCUAUGUUUUACUGUCUGCUCUUUCUGUCUGCUUGUUGUUAGAAGAGAAGUGAUUUUCUUGAAAUGCAUGAGGCUGGAAAGGGAGCUGGCACUUAAAGUGGCGGUGUUUGUCCGAGAGGAUGGUGCUCCUGCUCUGUCACAGUGGGCAUGGGGAUUCAGGCCACUGCCACCGAAUUUCAAGAGCCCAAGCACAGAGCCCAGAACUAAAUUGUGAGGGUUUAAAAAAAAAAAAAGCUUUAUUGAAGUAUAAUUGACAUACAAUAAACUUGAAUAUUU